rnacentral:rRNA from 1 species
UACGUAGGGUGCUAGCGUUGUUCGGAAUUAUUGGGCGUAAAGCGCGUGUAGGCUGUUUAUUAAGUCGGGUGUGAGAUCCCUGGGCUCAACCUAGGAAGUGCAUUCGAAACUAGUAAACUAGAAGAUGGUAGAGGAAGGUGGAAUUCCAAGUGUAGAGGUGAAAUUCGUAGAUAUUUGGAGGAAUACCGGCGGCGAAGGCGGCCUUCUGGACCAUUCUUGACGCUGAGACGCGAAAGCGUGGGUAGCAAACAGG